GUUCCCGUAGCUCAGUGGAUAGAGCAUCGGUCUCCGAAGCCGUGUGCGCUGGUUCGAUUCCAGUCGGGAACACCA
rnacentral:tRNA from 1 species